GAUGAACGCUGGCGGCGUGCCUAAUACGUGCAAGUCGAGCGAGCAGACGAGGAGCUUGCUCCUCUGACGUUAGCGGCGGACGGGUGAGUAACACGUGGAUAACCUACCUAUAAGACUGGGAUAACUUCGGGAAACCGGAGCUAAUACCGGAUAAUAUAUUGAACCGCAUGGUUCAAUAGUGAAAGACGGUUUUGCUGUCACUUAUAGAUGGAUCCGCGCCGCAUUAGCUAGUUGGUAAGGUAACGGCUUACCAAGGCAACGAUGCGUAGCCGACCUGAGAGGGUGAUCGGCCACACUGGAACUGAGACACGGUCCAGACUCCUACGGGAGGCAGCAGUAGGGAAUCUUCCGCAAUGGGCGAAAGCCUGACGGAGCAACGCCGCGUGAGUGAUGAAGGUCUUCGGAUCGUAAAACUCUGUUAUUAGGGAAGAACAAAUGUGUAAGUAACUAUGCACGUCUUGACGGUACCUAAUCAGAAAGCCACGGCUAACUACGUG
rnacentral:rRNA from 1 species